UGGAAGAACAGGGUGACAAGGUCAGGGGUGGGGCCAGGGAGCCCGGCAAGGUGGGUCAGAGCCAGCCCUUCUGAUGGUCUGUACAGCCAUAUCCCGUCCUCACCCCCACGGGCGCACCAGCUUACCCUCACCCCCGAGGCGGCCUGGUCACCUCAGGCCAUGCUGUGGGCAACUUUCUCCCUCCUCUCACCCCAGACUCUUGUGAGCCACAUGGCCCAGCACACAGCACCCAUUCAGCCACUCCCCCAGGACAGGCCAGGCUGGUGACCCCACGGA
rnacentral:lncRNA from 1 species